UACGUAGGGGGCAAGCGUUGUCCGGAAUCAUUGGGCGUAAAGAGCGUGUAGGCGGCCCGGUAAGUCCGCUGUGAAAGUCCAGGGCUCAACCCUGGGAUGCCGGUGGAUACUGUCGGGCUCGAGUCCGGAAGAGGAGUGUGGAAUUCCUGGUGUAGCGGUGAAAUGCGCAGAUAUCAGGAGGAACACCAGAGGCGAAAGCGGUUAACUGGGUCUAAACUGACGCUGAGGCGCGAAGGCUAGGGGAGCAAACAGG
rnacentral:rRNA from 1 species